rnacentral:rRNA from 1 species
UACGAAGGGGGCUAGCGUUGCUCGGAAUUACUGGGCGUAAAGGGCGCGCAGGCGGCCCUUGAAGUCAGGCGUGAAAGCCCCGGGCUCAACCUGGGAGGUGCGCUUGAUACUCGAGGGCUUGAGUGCGGGAGAGGAGAGUGGAAUUCCCAGUGUAGAGGUGAAAUUCGUAGAUAUUGUGAAGAACACCGGUGGCGAAGGCGGCUCUCUGGACCGUAACUGACGCUGAGGCGCGAAAGCGUGGGGAGCAAACAGG